GAGCUGACGAGUUCCCUCUCUCUCGUGGUGAAGUAAACACCACUCGUGAUUGGGAAAAAUUCAUCCUGAUGCCGAAACCCGCAGUUGAGAAAGUUGUUCGGUGUUGGGAGGUAGAGAAGUUCAGUGUGUACCGUCUGUGAGAUAUGCAAAUAUAUCAUAAGAUGGGGGUUCCCACCUUAAAGAUUGGUCCUUUUUCGUGCAGUGGUAAAACCUCCCAAGAACAUUGCAUGUUCUACAUGUGUUUUCACACCCCGCCUGGAUCCCCUGAAUGUGUCUUUGACAAAACACAGAUAAUGGAUUAUUACACGC
rnacentral:sRNA from 2 species